rnacentral:rRNA from 1 species
CCCUUAGAUGUUCUGGGCCGCACGCGCGCUACACUGACUACUUCAACGAGUUGUUUCCUUGAUCGAAAGGUCUGGGUAAUCUUUGAAAGGUAGUCGUGAUGGGGAUAGAUCCUUGCAAUUUUUGAUCUUCAACGAGGAAUUCCUAGUAAACGCAAGUCAUCAGCUUGCAUUGAUUACGUUCCUGCCCUUUGUACACACCGCCCGUCGCACCUACCGAUUGAAUGGUCCGGUGAAUCUUUAGGACUGUGGCUGAGGCCUUGCCUUGUGCGGGUCUGGCCGUGGGAAUUUAGUUAAACCUUACCAUUUAGAGGAAGGUGAAGUCGUAACA